CGUCGUCCUCGACGGACACCAAACUUGUUGGAUGAUCGCCAGCCGCGAAAAAAAUCGAUCAACAUAGGGGCUUUGACGGGGAGGGAUCUACGGGAAAGCAUUCGUUAAGCCUGUUUCUCGGCACUUCAAGCGGUAAGCCGUAAUUAACGCCACGAGGGGUGUCUACUCACCGGAAGUAAUACGGACUGAGCAUCAAGCGGCCAUAGCGGUUUUUCCGGUUUUGGUCUGGAUGCACGGUAGGCCGCAAUGCCGGUGACUACGAGGACUCCAGCUGCACCGCCUAAAUAAGACUUUUUCGCGCGUUUAUUCUUCAACCAGGCUGUAAAGCGGACAGAUCGGUAAUGUUAUGAAAGACAGUUAUGCUCUACAUCUUUCAAGUUUCCUUCAAAAAAUUUCGUCUACAGUAAAAACAACUGAUCGGGCUAAAGAAGAUAUUGUUUUGCGAAAUAGAAGAGGUAAGCGUAGAAUUCGAUCUCUGUGGUUUCGACAGAUGAUACGCGAAAUGUAUAAAAGCGAAACACAAAAUUUCAAUUCAGCAUUCCAUUCGAUUGCGUAUGCAUGUAAAUUAAAAGUUUCGGAUAGAAAUACGUUAAAAUAAUUCUUGUUAUUUUCAGUAAUAGAGAAGGCUAUUAACGUUUGUUUAAUUACGUACAAAUUAAUUUUCAAAUAUAUUAAUUCUGUAUUACCUUUCAACAUCUUUGUCCGAGAUUAGGUUGUAUUUCAAAACUUAAAUAUUUUUUCUCCGAUUAUUUGAUUGAUUUUUAACUGUUUUCACUCUAAUU